GAACAUGAAAAGGGAGAGGCUGCUUACAGCCAUCCAAAUAAAGCGCUAGGUUGGUGAAACUCCAUGGGCUGACUUGGUUAUUUCCCGGCAUGAAAAGCAGACAUUUAUCUGUUCCCAUGGAGAUAUGUGUUCUACUAGUCAAUCAGACUCUGAGGAGGUCGGACAAUAGCCGGUCGAGCCUUUUUUCAUCUUGAGAGAUGGUCGGGUCCCCCUUUAUUUUAACAUUUCACCUCAAUUUAAAGGAAUCUAAAUGAUCCCUCAGAAAUACCUGCAAACACAGCCAUUAUAAUUCCAAGGCAUUCAAAUUAACAAGAAGCUCCAGCUGCCAAGCAGGAAGAUGGGGCAGACCGGUCCCCCUCCUCCGAUUUCACAUCCUAGGUUCUUCUGUCACACUCCUCAUUUGUCUACGUUUGGCUUCUCUACUUGACCCCUCCGUCCCGAAUAAAAAAGAAUAAGCUCAUAACUUAAGGAAGCAAGAAGGGACAUUUCAAGUGGAACAUCAUCAAAGCAAGAAAAAGCUGCUCCAGGAAAGAGGAAAAAACAAAACAAAACAAAACAAAAAACCCAAGUGCUGGAAGUUGGGUAAGUUGGAGGCUGACUAUCCAAUAUGACUUAUAAGAGGAGCCAGCAUCACAGGAAACGGGAGCCUGCCAGACUCACGAUUUCAUCAAGUCACCUCGCUCUUGUUAAUAGAGUCAUUCAAGUGCAGUUCAACGGCACAAGGCAGGAAAGUAAAUACUAGGAGGACUCCCGGCUCAAAGCCCGGCCUUCUCUUGGCUCUGCUCUUCCAUCUCCCUGAAGGCGGAGGCUCCGGCUUCUUCAUGCCGGCUCCCUGAGAUAAAGACACCAACAGGCCACCUCGGAAAGCCAUUUGGAGCUUGGAGCGGUCCCAGCAAACGGCAUUUAGGGAAGGGGAGAAAUUCCAGCGUCCCUAGUCAUGUAUAACGUCCCGUUGUUAAGGCGGCAAAAAGCAGAAAUUUACCUUGAGAGUUUGAAUUCCCUGGAAAGACAUGGCCCACAUUUCUUAUGUGCUGUGGGUCGGGAUUUGACGGUUUCCUUCUCUUUUCUUCCUUUUGGUUUUUAAGAUUUAAAAAUCUCGAAAAGAUUCGAACAGUAUAAAAUUAAGUGUGUACUGCAAAUUUCUGUGACGCCUGGGAAAAAGGAAAUGUGCGUUACAGAGCUGGGCAGCGCCACAUGUCCUGUGACAAGCCGGCGACUUGAAAAAUUUAAUUCAGGAAGAGACGCAAAGAGGCCAAAUCGAAAGAGGAACUGGGCCUAUCGAUGUUCAGAGCAGGAAAACCGAAGAAGUUACCAACCAUCCCCAAGUUAAAAAUCAUGUGGGGCUGGAAAAUAUGUCGCCUGCUGCAUUUGUCAUUGAAAUUCACAAUCUUGUUUGCUGUUUAUCUUGAGGCUUGGGGAGCUCGCCUGCUGGUUAGGAAAAAGGAGGCCAGGUCUAGGAAGAAAUAAGAAAGGGAGGAUUAGAGCCCAGAGUGAAUGGGAGGUGUAAAUAAUACGCGGGCACCUGACAAUCUGGGCAAAGAAAUGAGAGACAAAGCCAAUACCCCACGCCAGAAAUCCUAAAAACUUAAGUGGGAAGCCCACACGUAAGAAAAAUGUCUCCAAGAAAAAAGGAAAAUAAAAUCCCAGAGGAUCUGUUUCCUCUGUGGUGCUGGUUC
rnacentral:lncRNA from 1 species